AUGCCCGUAGCUUAGUGGCAAGAGCGUCACGUUGCCAACGUGAAGGUCGCUGGUUCGAAUCCAGCCGGGCAUUCCA
rnacentral:tRNA from 1 species